AAGCUCGUAGUUGAAUUUCGGGAUUAGUACGUCGGUCGUGCCUUAGGUACGUACUGGUAUUACUGGUUCCUACCUUCUGACGAACCAUCAUGUCAUUAAUUUGGUGUGGUGGGGAAUCAGGACUGUUACUUUGAAAAAAUUAGAGUGUUUAAAGCAGGCUCGCGCUUGAAUACAUUAGCAUGGAAUAAUGAAAUAGGACGUUGAUCCUAUUUUGUUGGUUUCUAGGAUUGACGUAAUGAUUAAUAGGGAUAGUUGGG
rnacentral:rRNA from 1 species